rnacentral:rRNA from 1 species
AACUCUUCGGAGGGAAGGCAGUGGAAUGAGCGGCGGACGGGUGAGUAACACGUAAGGAACCUGCCUCAAGGAUUGGGAUAACUCCGAGAAAUCGGAGCUAAUACCGGAUAGUUCAACGGACCGCAUGGUCCGCUGAUGAAAGGCGCUCCGGCGUCACCUUGAGAUGGCCUUGCGGUGCAUUAGCUAGUUGGUGGGGUAACGGCCCACCAAGGCGACGAUGCAUAGCCGACCUGAGAGGGUGAUCGGCCACACUGGGACUGAGACACGGCCCAGACUCCUACGGGAGGCAGCAGUAGGGAAUCUUCCACAAUGGACGAAAGUCUGAUGGAGCAACGCCGCGUGAGUGAUGAAGGUUUUCGGAUCGUAAAACUCUGUUGUAAGGGAAGAACACGUACGAGAGGAAAUGCUCGUACCUUGACGGUACCUUACGAGAAAGCCACGGCUAACUACGUGCCAGCAGCCGCGGUAAUACGUAGGUGGCAAGCGUUGUCCGGAAUUAUUGGGCGUAAAGCGCGCGCAGGCGGCCUUUUAAGUCUGAUGUGAAAGCCCCCGGCUCAACC